AUGCAGGGGUCGGGGGUCCAAAGAAGGGGUCGGGGGACCAGAAGAAGGCUGGGGGUCCAAGGAAGGGGUCGGGGGUCCCGCUCCCCUGGCCGGGCUCCCACCUGCUGCAGCUGCUGCUGGUUGACCUGGGGCUCACGCCGGGGUCCCCCCUCCUCGCCCCCCGCCUCCUCCUCCCCCCGCGGCCCCUCGCGCUCCCGGCCCAGGCGCUCGCGGAUGAGGGGCUCCCCGCGCAGGAUGUGGCACAGGAUGGCCAGCAUGGACUCGGCCAUGCGGCCGCCGUACACCUUCAGAGGCCGCCGGUUCCACAGCUGCUUGAUGCAGGUGAAGGCUGCCUGCGGGGGGGUCGAUGGGAUGAGGGUUACGGGGGGGGCAGGCGGACCCCUGAGUGAGCAGCGAGGAUGCUUCGCUCUGACCACACGUCUCCGUGUGCUCGUGGAGAUGUCCCCAAGUCCUCGUGGUCCCCAGUGUCCCCUUCCAUGUGUCCCCAAGUCCUCGUGGUCCCCAGUGUCCCCUUCUAUGUGUCCCCAAGUCCUCGUGGUCCCCAAUGUCCCCAUCCACGUGUCCCCAAGUCCUCAUGGGCCCAAAUGUCCCCUCCGCAAGUCUUCAUGGUCCCCAAUGUCCCCUCCACGUGCCCCCAAGUCCUUGUGGUCCCCAGUGUCCCCUCCAUGUGUCCCCAAAUCCUUGUAGUCCCCAAUGUCCCCUCCACAUGUCCCCAAGUCCUCAUGGUCCCCAGUGUCCCCUCCACGUGUCCCCAGGUCCUUGUGGUUCUUAAUAUCCCUUCCAGGAGCCCUCAAGCCCCCCACAGGAUCCCACAAAACCCUUUGGACCACACUCCAAUGUCCCACAGAAGCCCCCCAAGCCCCCCAAAGGACCCCUCCAAUAUCCCACAGGACCCCCCACGUUCCUACAGGACCCCUCUAAUAUCCCACAGCAGCCCCCCAAAGCUCCCCUGACCCCCUUGGACUCCCCCAAUUCCCCCAGUAGCCCCCAAACUCCCACAGGACCCCCACAUCCCCAUAGGACCCCUCCAAUACCCUAUAAGACCUUCCCAAACCCCCUUAGACCCCUCCAAACCCUCACAGGACCCCUUCAACUCCCCCCCCAACCCCCCAGACCUUCUGGGUGACGACGAGGAAGCGGAGGGCGCUGAAGUGGGGCUGCCCGUGGCCGGGGGCUUUGGCAGGGAGGGCGUGGGGGGAUUCGAGCACAGUGCUGGGGUUCACCAUCUUCUCCACCAGCAUCAGCCAGGCGUCCAGGAACUCCCCGGUGCCGUCGGGGAGCUCGGGAUGCUCCAAACCUUCCGCCACCGGCACCUUGCCCCCCAUGGAGAGCGCCCAGUUGAACGUCCUGGGGAAUGACAGAUAUCGGGGGAGGGGUGGGAGGUGGGGGGGGGGGGGGGGGGGGGCUCACUCGAAGAGAGCGUUGUGGCCGCCGGAGCAGAGGAACUUCUGCAGCAUGAGGUGGUAGGGGAACUUGCGCUCGUCGAAGAGCAUCGGGGACGUGAAGCCCACCGAGCAGAUGAAGAACGUCAGCCUGGGGGGGGGGGGGGAAGUGGGGGGGGGGGAGGACACACGGGAUGAAGCUCUGGCCCCCCCCCCCCCCCCCCCCCCCCCCCCCCCCCCCCAUAGCACUGUUCCCCGUCGGUUCCACCCUACACAAAUCCCAUUUUUUCCCCUUGACUCUCCCA
rnacentral:lncRNA from 1 species